rnacentral:rRNA from 1 species
UACAGAGGUCUCAAGCGUUGUUCGGAUUCAUUGGGCGUAAAGGGUGCAUAGGUGGCGCCGUAAGUCAGGUGUGAAAUCUCGGGGCUCAACCCCGAACUGCAUUUGAUACUGCGGUGCUCGAGUACUGGAGAGGAGAUUGGAAUUUACGGUGUAGCAGUGAAAUGCGUAGAUAUCGUAAGGAAGACCAGUGGCGAAGGCGAAUCUCUGGACAGUUACUGACACUGAGGCACGAAGGCCAGGGGAGCAAACGGG